rnacentral:rRNA from 1 species
AUUGAACGCUGGCGGCAGGCCUAACACAUGCAAGUCGAGCGAGCGGCGGACGGGUGAGUAAUGUAUGGGGACUGCCCGAUAGAGGGGGAUAACUAAUGGAAAAGGUGGCUAAUACCGCCUACUGUCGGAUAACCCAUAUGGGAUUAGCUAGUAGGUGGGGUAAACGCUCAACUAGGCGACGAUCUCUAGCUGGUCUGAGAGGAUGAACAGCCACACUGGGACUGAGACACGGCCCUGACUCCUACGGAGGCAGCAGUGGGAAAUAUUGCACAUUGGGCGCAAGCCUGAUGCAGCCAUUGCGCGUGUAUGAAGAAGGCCUUAGGGUGGUAAAGUACUUUCAGCGGGGAGGCGUUACCCGCAGAAGAAGCACCGGCUAACUCCGUGCCAGCAGCCGCGGUAAUUC